GAUGAACGCUGGCGGCGUGCUUAACACAUGCAAGUCGAACGAAGCACUUAAGAACGAUUCUUCGGAUGAAGUCUUUUGUGACUUAGUGGCGGACGGGUGAGUAACGCGUGGGUAACCUGCCUCACACAGGGGGAUAACAGUUGGAAACGACCGCUAAUACCGCAUAAGCCGACGGAUCUGCAUGGAUUCGCCGGAAAAGAUUUAUCGGUGUGAGAUGGACCCGCGUCUGAUUAGCCAGUUGGCAGGGUAACGGCCUACCAAAGCGACGAUCAGUAGCCGGCCUGAGAGGGUGAACGGCCACAUUGGGACUGAGACACGGCCCAA
rnacentral:rRNA from 1 species